rnacentral:rRNA from 1 species
GAUGAACGCUAGCGGGAGGCUUAACACAUGCAAGUCGAGGGGCAUCACGAGGUAGCAAUACUUUGGUGGCGACCGGCGCACGGGUGAGUAACACGUAUGCAACCUACCCUGUACAGGGGGAUAACCCGGAGAAAUUCGGACUAAUAUCCCAUGCAAUUAUUGGAGGGCAUCCUUUGAUAAUUAAAGCUCAGGCGGUAUAGGAUGGGCAUGCGGAACAUUAGCUAGUUGGUAGGGUAACGGCCUACCAAGGCUACGAUGUUUAGGGGACCUGAGAGGGUUGUCCCCCACACUGGUACUGAGACACGGACCAGACUCCUACGGGAGGCAGCAGUGAGGAAUAUUGGUCAAUGGGCGCAAGCCUGAACCAGCCAUCCCGCGUGAAGGAAGAAUGCGCUACGCGUUGUAAACUUCUUUUCCAGGGGGAGAAUAAUCCUGUCGUGACAGGACUUGACGGUACUCUGGGAAUAAGCAUCGGCUAACUCCGUGCCAGCAGCCGCGGUAAU